rnacentral:rRNA from 1 species
GGUGAACGCUGGCGGCGUGCUUGACACAUGCAAGUCGAACGGUAUGUGGCAACACAUAGAGUGGCGAACGGGUGAGUAACACGUGGGAACGUACCAUCUGCAGGGGGAUAACUGACCGAAAGGACAGCUAAUACCGCAUAAGUCCGGAAGGAGAAAGGUGCAAUAGCAUCGGCAGAAGAGCGGCCCGCGGUCCAUCAGCUAGUUGGUGAGGCAAUGGCUCACCAAGGCGACGAUCCGUAGCUGGUCUGAGAGGAUGAUCAGCCACACUGGGACUGAGACACUGCCCAGACUCCUACGGGAGGCAGCAGUGAGGAAUAUUGGUCAAUGGACGAGAGUCUGAACCAGCCAAGUCGCGUGAAGGAAGACGGCCCUACGGGUUGUAAACUUCUUUUGUAAGGGAAUAAAUAGUCUUACGUGCUAAGACGUUGCAGGUACCUUACGAAUAAGGAUCGGCUAACUCCGUGCCAGCAGCCGCGGUAAUACGGAGGAUCCGAGCGUUAUCCGGAUUUAUUGGGUUUAAAGGGUGCGUAGGCGGCCUAUUAAGUCAGGGGUGAAAUGGUCCGGCUCAACCGGAUCAUGCGGUUGAAACUGGAUGACUGGAGUGCUGGAGAGGCAAGUGGAAUUCCCAGUGUAGCGGUGAAAUGCGUAGAUAUUGGGAAGAACACCGGUGGCGAAGGCGACUUGCUGGCCAGCAACUGACGCUGAGGCGCGAAAGCCAGGGGAGCAAACGGGNAUUAGAUACCCCGGUAGUCCUGGCCGUAAACGAUGAAUGCUAGGUGUGGGCAUCGAGAGGUGUCCGUGCCGGAGCUAACGCGAUGAGCAUUCCGCCUGGGGAGUACGAUCGCAAGAUUGAAACUCAAAGGAAUUGACGGGGGCCCGCACAAGCGGUGGAGCACGUGGUUUAAUUCGAUGCAAACCGAAGAACCUUACCUGGGUUUGACAUGUACGUAGUAGUGAGCUGAAAGGCGAGCGACGAAGGAUUCGUCCGGAGAGCGUACACAGGUGCUGCAUGGCUGUCGUCAGCUCGUGUCGUGAGAUGUUGGGUUAAGUCCCGCAACGAGCGCAACCCCUGCUGCCAGUUGCCAUCGGGUAAAGCCGGGCACUCUGGCGGGACCGCCGGCGACAAGCUGGAGGAAGGCGGGGAUGACGUCAAGUCAUCAUGGCCCUUAUGUCCAGGGCGACACACGUGCUACAAUGGUCGGUACAGAGGGAAGCGAGCCUGCGAAGGCAAGCGGAUCCCAGAAAGCCGGCCCCAGUUCAGAUUGAAGUCUGCAACCCGACUUCAUGAAGCCGGAAUCGCUAGUAAUCGCGGAUCAGCCAAGCCGCGGUGAAUACGUUCCCGGGCCUUGUACACACCGCCCGUCACACCACCCGAGUUGGGUGCACCCGAAGCCGGUGGCUGAACCCGUAAGGGACAGAGCCGUCG